GAUGAGUCAUCAGUUGGACCAUCUGCUUCCAAACUGUGGUUGACUGCUGGUCAGGGCAACUGUGGGAGAGGAAGGUCACAGGUGAUGACAAGGGAUUACUGUGACUGGAUUUUCAGUAUGAUUUGAAGGUAAAGCAAGAAGGCAUCCAUCUACAAUCCAGGAAGAGGACUAUCACCAGAACCCCAUGCUGCUGACACCUUGAUCUUGGACUUCCAGCCUCCAGAACUUGCUGAAAGGCCACACAUGGUCUCUGAAGUAAGUAACACAGGAUGGAUAACAUUGAAAUACUGGAGGACAACAUCACGUAUAGCAGUGCUUUGUUAGGUCCUUAAAAAUCUACAAUUGCAAUUAUUACAUAGUAAAUGAAGCAUGAAGGUACUUGUACCUGACCCUACCACUGUUGUACUCCACUCCCCUCAUUUUAUUUAUCUCCUUGGGCCACUGAUCAUUAACUGAAAAAACUUUAAUAUUUCUAAGAUACUAAAUAUCUUACUUUGUCUUUUUGUUAACUGUUUUACUGUCUACCCUAUUAGAGAGAGUGUAAGCUUCAUAAGAACAGGGAUUUUCGAUGUCUUUCAUACCACUGUAUUCCUGUGGGAACAGUAUUGCCUGGCACAUAAGGGUGCCAAAUAACAUUGUUGAAUGAAUUGACCAAAGUUAUA